CUUGAUCAUCAUCUGAGCCGAAAUCAAGGGUCGGACACUCAACUGACUGAGCCACUCAGCUACAGAGAAUGGGCUUUGUGCAGAAAGAUGUGUUGAAAAUAUGUUUGGAAUCCUGAUCUUAAACGUACACAUGAAUAAAGCCAAAAUUAGACACGUCGCAUGGGUGUGGAGAGCAUUGCUGCAGAGCAUCUACCUCUUAGUUUGAAAUUUUCACAAGGCUUUUACCUGAAGACAAAUUUGUCUGACUGAUGAUGGCUGACUACACUGCAUUGCAAAAUCAGGUCCAUUGUUCUCCAAAAGAAUUCUCUUGACUGUGUUCACUGGCAAAAGUGCAAUUGUGCAGGAAGUUGCUGGACCCUGAAGACUGCAGCAAGAUAAGAAGCCACAAGUAAAGCUGAAGUCACUACCUGGAGCACCUUCCUGAAAAGGAUUAGGGAUUGGGGUGAUGGUGAAAAAUUCUGGACCUUGAUGGCAGAUUCACUAUCAAAAAGGAGAAGAGAGGAUAUGGAGAAAUUGCACAGGUAAACUCUACUGAGCCAUUCAGUAAAUUCUACUGAACCACUCUAAUUACCAUUUAAUGAUGACUCUUACAACCGAAUUCAACCAAGAUGAGCAAUACCAUCUGCAUGAUAGCUGGAGAGAAAUUUUGGUUGUGGAUCCAUUUCCUUUAUUUGCUGGAAUAAAAACCCUUUCGUUGAGAGGACUCCACUAAAGAUUCAGUCUGGAGCACUUCCAAUAAUCAUACUUUCCUGGGCACCCUGAUUUUUUUUUUUUUUCUGUAUAACAUUUACUAUUUUCUGUUCUCUGUGUCAUUUCUUA